rnacentral:rRNA from 1 species
UGGGGAAUAUUGGACAAUGGGCGAAAGCCUGAUCCAGCCAUGCCGCGUGUGUGAAGAAGGUCUUCGGAUUGUAAAGCACUUUAAGUUGGGAGGAAGGGCAGUAAAUUAAUAUUUUGCUGUUUUGACGUUACCGACAGAAUAAGCACCGGCUAACUCUGUGCCAGCAGCCGCGGUAAAUACAGAGGGUGCAAAGCGUUAAUCGGAAUUACUGGGCGUAAAGCGCGCGUAGGUGGUUUGUUAAGUUGGAUGUGAAAGCCCCGGGCUCAACCUGGGAACUGCAUUCAAAACUGACAAGCUAGAGUAUGGUAGAGGGUGGUGGAAUUUCCUGUGUAGCGGUGAAAUGCGUAGAUAUAGGAAGGAACACCAGUUGGCGAAGGCGACCACCUGGACUGAUACUGACACUGAGGUGCGAAAGCGUGGGGAGCAAAACA